rnacentral:lncRNA from 1 species
CUUUGCUAUAGUCAUGUAAAUUGCACUACAAUAUUUUGAGAUACCUAUACUUGAAUCGCUAGCACAGAUUUUGUGUGUCCCCUUCCCCCACAAAUAGCUAACUUAUUAUUUAUCUUAAAAGAAGUACAUUCUAGAUAAAAUUAUAACAUGAGAAAAGUACUUAUGAUCUCUUUUCUCAGUUUCCUACUCUGACUUACGUGAAUUCCCUAGGCUGGGAAAGAAAACUAUAGGUAAAAGGAAGGAGUUUAAAGGAAGCUUAAGCUAUCGCUUCAGCCUUCUACAUCGGGUAUGAUAAAGUUCUCUGAACUACAAGGGCUAAGUUUUCACACGUAGAACAUACCACGAGGGAUCUUUCUUCUUGAAGGAAUUACAGUUACCCUAUCCUCCACCAUUACAUAUCAGGUACAAAGUCACCGAAUCUAUUAGUUUAUCCAUCACUGUACCAAGAGGAACCAAAUCCUGACCUGAUGAAGAUGGGGGCUAGGAAUGACUCAGAUUUGAGGAUGUCAAGGCCUCCUCACCAGCCCUGAACUGCUUAAUUCUGGACAGUUAUGUUGAAGAUAAAUGGAUUUGUAUCUUACAUAAGUUAAUGUAUUCUGGAAUCUUUAUGUUGUACAGUCUAUGCUUAACUGAUACAGUCUCCAUAGUCUAAGCCAAGGAUUUGCAAAUUAUGGCCCCAAGGUUAAAUCUAGCCUGUCACCUGUUUUUGUACAGAAAGCUUUAUUAGAACACAGCCAUGCUCAUUCCUUUAUAUAUGUUACAGCACCUUUUGUGAUGCAUGUGCAGACUUUAGUACAGAUUUAACAAAGAUUAUUUGGCCUGCUAAAUCUAAAAUAUUUAUCUGACACUUGUAGAAAACAAUUGCUGACCCCUGAUCGAAACUCUAAAUGAUGUAAGUUGAUAGGGAAAAUAAUAUAAAUAAGAUGCUUUCCCUGCAUCGUGAUCUAUCUAUUUUCAAAGGGUUUCCUGCAGUAAAGUAAGGAAAGAGAGCAAGAAUAACUACAUUAUUGACCUUGGUUAGUUUAAUGUAUAUAUUUUGAUCUCUUUCCUACUUCUUUAUUACUAUCACAAUACUAAGUUUUGCCUUGGCCUUCUCCACAGCUCAGGAGAGAAAAUCAUCUGAGUCUCACACCAGCUUCAAACAGCCUUUAGCAUUUUAUGGAAGUGAACAAUUUUUGACAAAUCCUAAUAGGGGAGUUUUUCCAGAUAAAGGGAGAUAACCUCCCUUAUCUAGGACUCUGCCUCCUAUUACUUUUACAGUUCCUUUAGUAUUAAGUAUGACCUGAGAAAAUCUCCAAUUUUCCAGCAAUCGUGCUGGGAACCAUUGCUACACCUUGGUCUGAACCUAUUGAAACCCACUGUCUUUAAAGUUGUUUUACUUGAACUUUUAUGCAUCUGGCUACUGCCUCCAUUGAAAGUAGCCACAACUUUGUCAAAUACAAGCACACAUGACCUUGAAUCUUCAUAACCAACCUGAUUUCUCAUCAUACAUGACUUCGCUCCCAUUCAUUUUUAUAAUGGUGCCUGUUCUUCAGUUAUUUUUCACUUUAAGAAAAUCCUGCCAUCUGGCCACUUUUUAAAGUUGAUUUAACAGUUACAACACUAUGUUAACUUUAAUAAGAUAUUCACUUUAUCUUUUAAAAUCACUGUCACGUACCUAAUACUACUGCAAGGACAGUCAAGAGAGUAAACUCCUUGUAUAAGCAAAUUAAAAGCAUUAAAUUCUAACCCUCAUCAGCACUUGGGAAUAAUUGCUCCUCUACAUUACUAGGGGAAGGCUGAGUAUUGGGUUUUCAGCUUUAUAUGGUGGAUAAUCUAAUGAUAUUUCAUACUGGACUUUUCUAAAGAUAAUGAGUGCACUAUCUGAAAGUUCUUAGCAUUUAAUUCAAUCACUGAUAAACUUGAUGCUCUAUUGAAUUUUCCUUGAAAGCUUUUUUAAAUAUUUACCCUCAUGUCUUAAAAUAUACUUGAAUUAAUAUAUACUUAAUGUAUAUAUAAAGUAUACAACAUUUGCCUAUAUUAAUAUAUGUGUAUUUCUAUAUAUAAUCUUUUACUUUGUUUCUUAAAUAUACACUUAAGACUUAACAUAUGCUUAAUAAAUAAAAUGUAAUUAAAGACACACUUUAAACAUUAUUUGUGUAUGAUAUAUUGUAACAAAAAUAUUCUAGACUUGACUCCUUAAAAUGUAUUGUAUUACAUUACUGCAAGUUAUAUUUUAUUAGUAUAUCUUUAAUUUUUUUCUAGAAAGAUUUUAUGACCAGGAUAGAAGAAAAAAAGUGAAUACCUUAAAGAAGAAGACAGAAUGCAUCAUAACAUAAACUACUUAAAAAUAGCCCCAUUCCCAGUUGACGUUUGUCCUUCCAGACAUUACUCUCUAUGAAUUUUCAGUAUUUUAUAGUAGUCCAUGUAUGCAACUAUGUAUUCUGCUUUUUAAAUUUCCCUGUACAAUAUUUUAUAUAAACUAUGCCAUUUUUAAACUUAAACUUUAAUCCCAGUUUGAAAACUUUUUGUGUUAUAUAAAAUAUUGAGAUAAAU